rnacentral:misc_RNA from 1 species
AAGUCGUAACAAGGUUUCCGUAGGUGAACCUGCGGAAGGAUCAUUACCAAAUUUCAAAAAAAAAUGAAAGGAAAGGGCCUCUCCGGCCUUGGCCUUUCGUUCACACCCCAUGUGCAUCCGUGUAAAACUGUCUUGCGAGGUUCCCUUCUUUUUUUUUUAUUUCAAGAAAAAAACUCAGGCUCGAAAAAGAAAAGACUUUGUGUUUUCUCUUUGGACGGUCGGGGGGCCUCGCGUAGCCAAACUACUUUCCAAACACAACCAAUUACGGUGGAAAACAAUUAUAUUUUCAAAUCAAUGAAA